rnacentral:rRNA from 1 species
AGAGUUUGAUCAUGGCUCAGGACGAACGCUGGCGGCGUGCCUAAUACAUGCAAGUCGAGCGCAGGAAGUUAUCUGAUCCUCUUUUAGAGGUGACGAUAAUGGAAUGAGCGGCGGACGGGUGAGUAACACGUAGGCAACCUGCCUGUAAGACUGGGAUAACUCGUGGAAACGCGAGCUAAUACCGGAUAACACUUUUCAUCUCCUGAUGAUAAGUUGAAAGGCGGCUUUUGCUGUCACUUACAGAUGGGCCUGCGGCGCAUUAGCUAGUUGGUAAGGUAAUGGCUUACCAAGGCGACGAUGCAUAGCCGACCUGAGAGGGUGAUCGGCCACACUGGGACUGAGACACGGCCCAGACUCCUACGGGAGGCAGCAGUAGGGAAUCUUCCGCAAUGGACGAAAGUCUGACGGAGCAACGCCGCGUGAGUGAUGAAGGUUUUCGGAUCGUAAAACUCUGUUGUUAGGGAAGAACAAGUGCCAUAGUAACUGAUGGCACCUUGACGGUACCUAACCAGAAAGCCACGGCUAACUACGUGCCAGCAGCCGCGGUAAUACGUAGGUGGCAAGCGUUGUCUGGAAUUAUUGGGCGUAAAGCGCUCGCAGGCGGUUCUUUAAGUCUGAUGUGAAAUCUUACGGCUCAACCGUAAACGUUGCAUUGGUAAACUGGGGGAACUUGAGUGCAGAAGAGGGAGAGUGGAAAUUCCACGUUGUUAGCGGGUGAAAUGCCGUAGAGAUUGUGGGAGGAACCACCCAGUGGUCGAAUGGCGACUCUCCUGGUCUGGUAACUUGACGCCUGAGGAGCGAAAGCGUGGGGAAGCGAACAGGGAUUAGAUAACCCUUGGUUAGUUCCACGCCGUUAAACCGAUGAGUUGCCUUAGGUGCUAGGGGGUUUUCCGCCCCCAUUAAGUGCUUGAGUUACACGCCAUUAAUGCACUCCGCCUGGAAGUACCGUCGCA